CGAACGGCCCUUUUCAGGGCCAACAAAUACCUCUAACGUUGACU
rfam:Harpegnathos saltator strain R22 G/1 HarSal_1.0_2.contig6378, whole genome shotgun sequence.